CCAUCACAUGACCACCACCAGGUCACUCCAUAGACAGGACGUCACCGCUCCUGCUGAGGGGAAAGGAGGGAACCUGCUGGUUUAGAUUGCAAGCUCCUAGCGCAGGGACUGUGGGAUAUGGAGGCGCUGUAAUGAGACUAUUUUCUUCCAGGCUGGGUCCUGGGUCCGGACUCCCACUCACUGACUACUCACAAUAAUAACCGCCGCAGAGAGCCGCACAUCGUCUGCACUGCGCUCUGCGUACACGAUAGUGACGUCCACAUACGAAGCUCCUCAGUGAUGUCUCCACGCUGCUGCCAUAGAAACCAAUCACGUGAUCCCGGAAGCGCCUGGUGACGUCACGUUGUCCCGGUAACAGCGGUCGGAUGGGGUAAAAUGGCUGCUAAAUACAGAGGAGCCCUGACUGGAGGGACCCGGGGCCCCUCGGCCUCUCUCAUCACCCUGGCGGCCGUCCUUCUCCUCAGCUCCCCCUUACAGGCCUCCAGUCUGUGCCGCCAUCAGGUCCCGGGGCCCGAGGAGGUGGUGUACCAGGUUCACCAGAGGACGAGUCACGUGAUCAGGAGGCAGGCGGAGGAGCAGCUGCGGAUGAAGAUUGUCUACGACCCCAGCAUUGAAGACCUGGUCCCAGCGAGGAAGAGACUUGUCAAAAAUAAGCUCUUCCCACAAGCCAUCUCCUAUUUACAGAAGACCUUUCAGGUGCGCCGACCUAGUGGCUCCAUAUUACUGAGCAGACAGUGCGUGAAGAAUCAGUACGUGAGGAGACAGUCGGACGCUCAGAGAUACUGUCACGAGGGCUGCGCAGAGCACACGCGAUGCGGUCCGGUGAUUGUGCCAGAGGAGCACCUCCAGCAAUGUUUAAUGUGCCGCAACAAGUACUGUGGAGUAUCGGGGCCCCCGGACAGUGGGGGGGUACGAGAUGCGGACUUUAUCCUCUACGUCAGCGCAAUCACCACGGAGAGAUGCAGCCAGGAGAACAUUGUGGCGUAUGCAGCCUAUUGUCAGCUGGAGGCAGAGAUGGACAGGCCCAUUGCAGGGUAUGCCAACCUGUGCCCCAGUAUGAUCUCCACGCAGCCCCAGGAGUUUGCCGGCAUGCUGUCCACCGUGAAGCAUGAGAUCAUCCACGCUCUGGGAUUUUCUGCCGGUCUUUUUGCCUUCUUUUAUGAUGACAGUGGGGAGCCCCUGACCCCGAGGUCUGCAGAUGGCCUCCCUGUCUUCAAUGAGAGCCUUGGUGUUUACCAGUGGAGUGAAAAGGUCGUUCGAAUGAUCACCAGGAACUGGGAUAUUAGAGGCGCCAAAAUGGUUCCACGCAAGGUCUACCUGCUGGUCACCCCGCGGGUCACCGACGAGGUGCGGAGUCACUUUGACUGUCCAGAUCUUGAGGGAAUGGAGCUGGAGAAUCAGGGUGGCAUGGGCACAGAGCUGAACCACUGGGAGAAGCGGCUGCUGGAGAAUGAGGCCAUGACGGGCUCCCACACACAGAACAGGGUCUUCUCCAGGAUCACACUUGCUCUGAUGGAGGAUACGGGCUGGUACAGAGCAAAUUACAGCAUGGCGCAGAAGCUGGACUGGGGGCGAGGGAAAGGCUGCGACUUUGCAACGAAAAGCUGCAAGUUCUGGAUCACUGAGCAGAGCAGAAAGAAGCAAAAUGUCAGCCCCUUCUGUGACACUCUCCGAGGCAAUCCUUUACAACUGAGCUGCCGACAGGACCAGAGGGCGGUGGCCAUAUGUAAUCUACAGAGGUUCCCCAAAAGUCUUCCUCAAGAAUAUCAGUAUUUUGACCACAUCCUGGGGGUCCCACAGGAGGAUCUCGCCCUCUAUGGGGGGGCGGUGGAGAUCGCCGACUUCUGCCCGUUCACCCAGGAGUUCAGCUGGCAUUUGAGCGGAGAAUACCAGAGAAGCUCGGACUGCACCAUGCCCCAGAACCAGCCAGCUGCGUCCAGGAACUACGGGGCGGAGCGCUAUGGGCCGGGGUCUGUCUGUCUGGAGCAGAGGGCGGCAUUUGUCAUGGAGCAGUGCAAUAAGAGGAUGAGUUACCCCGACUGGGGCAGCGGCUGCUAUCAGGUACCGACGCCUCUACAUGUGACGGCAAUAAUCGCGUCUUCAUAUUAUCCAACAGGUGAGCUGCGCCCCAGAAGGCCUGCAGAUCUGGCUGGAGGACACCCCCUACCUGUGCAGCCGGGCCGGUCAGGUGAUCGCUGUCAGCACCCACAUCAAUGGCUGGUACUACGAGGGCGAGCUUGUCUGUCCGUCCUGUUGGGACUUCUGUGACCUCUGCCCUCCGGAGCGGGAUCCUCCCCCAGACAACAGGACGAGAGCUGCCCCUCUAGAUCUCUGCUCUCGCUCUUCUAACCUGGUGGUCACCCUGCGGCUUCUAAUGCUGAACCUGCUCCCCCUGCUGGCGGGGUUCUUUCUCUGCGUGUACAAGUAACAGAUGCUGCAGUUCACCUCUCUGUGUCCUGGUGACGCCCGCUGCACUUUAUACAGACGUGCCACGUGCUGGCAUAAAGGGCAUUACAAGGUGUCCGCGGGGCAUUGCGACAUGUUUACCUGAGUCUUACAGCUUUGUCCAUGUAAGCCUGACCUCGGGACCCCAGCGGGGUGGAGGCAGGGCCCGCUCCGCAGUGGUCAGGCUUAUUGUAUAGUACACUCGGGACAUGGAGUAUACAGCCUCCAAAAGACCUUCUGUAGCUCAUUCUGCCACGUCUGGACAGUCACCCUCCGACUCUAUAGUGUGGCAUUCUUCCAGCCUCUCUGCCAAGGAGCAGUUGUGCACUGUGUGUCAUACAGUCCCUCCCCUGAGGAACAUUCAUAUGCUGUAUGUCACAGCCCCUCCCCCAAGGAGCAUCUAUGUCGCACAGUCCCUCCCCCGAGGAGUAGUUGUCCUGUG